AAUUGGCUAGCAUUGGCUUCACUUGUGCCAAUUGCCAAUAAAUUCUUAACCAAGUUUUUAGUGUAAACAAAGUAGACUAAUUAGAGUUGAAGUGAAAGUAUGUAAGUGUUAGAAGAGGAAUCAUAGUACCUUUAAAAUUGGUACAGGGUGAAAACCAUUCUGUCUGCUGGCCAGAAGCCUGAAUUUUGUCAAUAAAUCAAGUAGUUCAAAUAUAUCAUUAAAUGAGGCUUGAUUAUUUCCCCAGCUUUUAUGAGCAGCUGUUCUUAUUUUAAAAAUAUAAUCAUGACUUUAAUGUUUAUGCAAUUUUAAGAGCUGGAUGAACAUCAUUUAGAACUGCAGUUACAUUCUGCUGCUCCUAUGACGUCCAGAGUGCAGUCACAUUUAUGACAAAAAUUAAUCAGAUCUGCUGACUUGAAGAUAAUGGACAUGGUAUAACAUUUUCAACCUUGGACCAUUGAAGGAAACAGAGGUUACUUAUUUGAUUAAAAGGCAAAGUUUCCAGGUAACUGAUAAUAUCUACAAACAGCCUGCUAAGGAAGUCGUGAAGUUAUUUUGGCAAAGACCCUCUUACUGCAACAUCUACAGACACUGAAAUUAAUAGAAAGUGACACACCUACCAUGGGCAGACUCUCCCAUACAAGGUCCUUCAACUGAUUCAAGCUUCUCCCUGUGUCACUCCCCAUCACCUCCGCACAGCAGUCCUAGUUGCACUCCCUUCAGAAAUCUGGAGCCCUGGUUCACAUGACAGAGAAAUGAAUCUUUUUGUUGCUCCACUUCUUCCAGGACUUUGAGUUACCCAGACUUUCCACAGCAACCACUGCCUAUGCCAUUAUUUCAUGCUGUUUCCACAGUUCCAAAGAUAAAGCCUCGACCUAUCCACAAUGACACAGGUGUCAACUCCAAGACUGCUUUGUAAUCUUGGCAUAGCUUGUUGAUGGCCAGUUUUCUUCUAGCCUAAUUCCCACAACCCAGUAUAGGUAGCCACAUUAGAGAAGAGAAGAGAAAAGCUGCUAAAGUAUUUGCAGGACCAGGCAGCAGAUUAUGGUGUGCAGGAAUUAAUUGUGGGUCAAAGCCCUGGCUUCUGUACUGAACCACUAAUGAGUAAUCUGCUUUCCUUUGAUGUGGAGGAGCCCUCACUUCACCUUUCUAUUUAUCCUGGUUGAGCAGAGGUCCCUUGUGCUCCAUGCACUGGAAUGCACAUUGCUCAACAAAUGAUACAAAUAUGUGGGUGGACUGUGUGAGGGGACAUUGAUAGACCCUGUUAAGUUAUCUUAGUGAUGACUUCUGGGCUUCCAUAAUCUUGGAGGACAAGUCUUUGCAAUAUCUAACAAGCAAGCACCCUUUUGUAAAUGUUAAAGGCAACCCCAACUAGCCUUACAAACUCUCUUGCCCUGCUACUGCAUGUAUGAUGGUGCCUUUAGAGGUCCUGCAGGAAUGGUAGAUGGUAGGGCUACCAGUCCAGGAACCAGGAACAAAUCAGCCAUCCUCAGCAUUGCUAAAACAUUUCCUGUAUUCUUAACACUUCAACGGAUUUCCUAAACAGACACAGUCCAGGUCUAAUGGACUCUGAAUGCUUAUCAGUAAUGGAAUUACCCAUUUUAGUGUUAACUUAAAACAUUUUGGUUGAACUUGUGCAUGGGAGGGAUCAGUACAAGCUGGCCAUACACUGAAAUGGUCUGUCUGUGGUAUUUACUGUUGUGGACAAAAGUGAUAUUUCUUGGUCUUUGGAAUAUACUUGUAACUCUUGACACACAUUGCUAAAAUGUACAGCUCUCUGUGGCCUUCUGUGUUUGGUAACCAGAGGACUUGGAGGGAGCACAUGAAGCCAGGUGGUGUUAGGUAACUAGAGGGGCAGUAAAUGCAGGUGCAAGGCUGCUGAGGCUCAAGAUGUCCAAGGACUGAGGAGAGUGGGUUGCACCGUGGGGGAGGGAAGGGAGAAGAGGGAAGUCACUAUAUGUGCAUACAGGGCAUAUAAUUUGAAAUGCCAAAGCUGGGGGAGUUUUAGGGGGGAGCAUUUGGUUACAUCCACCCAUGAUGGCAGCCCCAAGCACAGCAACAUUAACAUUGUAUGAUUGUGUGCUGAUGUUCAAACAGCUAAUCCAGAAAACACAUACACUUACCUUUGUCAAUCACAGGCUUUGUGCUGAACAGAACAAUGUUGGGGAUGGCAGGUCGGUGGAUUGCGGGCAGAACUAGCUCCAUAUCCAGUUCAGCAUUCUCUGGCAAAUGCUCAAGUUCUUGGCUGGCAAAAAAAAAAGUGUCCUGGCUCUUGAGGACCCCUUUGACCAUACAGUCCUCACUGUCACUAAUCAGGUUCUUGUCAAGAUCUGCUAUGAUAUAGAUGCAUGACAAGGCAGCAGCAGCAAGUGCAGCAGUACUGGCUGCUAUGCUGUUGGUACUGACAGCAGCAGCAGCAGCAAUUUGUGUGUGCCCCGCAAAGGCAGUGCCCUGGGCUACUUUCCCGGUCGCUACCCCUCAGUUAUGCUAUCCAGAUAUCAGCAUUGCUUGACAAGCCCGAGUCCAGUUCCUCAGUUUGAAGCCAGCAUCUAAACAAUUAAUGUCGUUGGGUGCUACACAUGAAAUCCUUAACUGUGAAGAGAGGACUGCAAAGCAUCAUACCAGUGCCUCUUUGCUGUCAUCUGGGAUGUUACCAUAUGCUUCCCAUGACAUUUGAAAGCCUGAGUUUCUGUUUUAUCCACAGAUAAAUUUAUUUCUGGUGGGGCAGGAUUAAAUUGUUUUUAUGAAAUGU